CGAGGCCUACGGGAGGCAGCAGUGAGGAAUAUUGGUCAAUGGGCGGGAGCCUGAACCAGCCAAGUCGCGUGAGGGAAGACGGUCCUAUGGAUUGUAAACCUCUUUAGGCGGGGAGCAAUGCCGGGCACGCGUGCCCGGAGGGGGAGUACCCGCAGAAUAAGCAUCGGCUAACUCCGUGCCAGCAGCCGCGGUAAUACGGAGGAUGCGAGCGUUAUCCGGAUUUAUUGGGUUUCAAGGGUGCGUAGGCGGAUUUUUAAGUCAGCGGUACAAUGUCCGGGCUCAAC
rnacentral:rRNA from 1 species